UUCUGCCCUAUGAAUAUUUAAAUGGCUGCAGUAUUUUGACUGUGCAAAGGUAGCAUAAUAAUUAGUCAUUUAAUUGUUGACUUGUAUGAAUGAUUAAAUGAGAUAUAAUUUUUAUUAAUUUAAUUUUUAGAAUUUUAUUUUUAGGUCAAAAAGCUUAAUUAAUUAUUAGGGACGAAAAGACCCUAUAGAACUUUAUUAAAUUUUUAAUAUUGAUAUUUUUUGUUUUUUUUCUGUUAUUAUUUUAUGUUUUUUUUGGUUGGGGUGACAAAUAAAUUUAACUUUAUUUUUUUAUAUCAUUUAUGAAUGUUUUGCUUGAUCCUAAUUUUUAGAUUAAAAGUUUUAGUUACCUUAGGGAUAACAGCGUAAUUUUAGUGGGGAGUUCAUAUUUAUACUUAAGUUUGCGACCUCGAUGUUGAAUUAAGAAAAUUGAGGGGGGUAG
rnacentral:rRNA from 1 species